rnacentral:rRNA from 1 species
GGGAAACCGGAGCUAAUACCGGAUAAUAUUUGAACCGCAUGGUUCAAAAGUGAAAGACGGUCUUGCUGUCACUUAUAGAUGGAUCUGCGCUGCAUUAGCUAGUUGGUAAGGUAACGGCUUACCAAGGCAACGAUGCAUAGCCGACCUGAGAGGGUGAUCGGCCACACUGGAACUGAGACACGGUCCAG